rnacentral:lncRNA from 1 species
GAAGACCUGGAGGUUCGGAGGGCAGUCUGCCGUCUUAUAAUCCAUGGACAAGGGACUGACCAUAGUGAACAGUCUGUGGUUAACCAGAGGCCUUUGAGCUACGGGCUGCUGUUCACUUCACUUCACAGAGGAGGAAAGGAAGGCACGGAGAGGUAGGAUCACUGGCCUGAAGCCACCAGAGGGAAGUAAUAAAGAGCCGCUCUCUUAGAAAAUC